rnacentral:rRNA from 1 species
UACGGGGGGAGCAAGCGUUGUUCGGAUUUACUGGGCGGAAAGGGCGGGUAGGCGGCCACCGCAAGUCAGUUGUGAAAUCUCCGGGCUUAACCCGGAAAGGUCAACUGAUACUGCGGGGCCAGAGUGCAGAAGGGGCAACUGGAAUUCUCGGUGUAGCGGUGAAAUGCGUAGAUAUCGGGAGGAACACCAGUGGCGAAGGCGACUACCUGGCCUGUUCUUGACGCUGAGGCGCGAAAGCUAGGGGAGCAAACGGG